GGACUGCAUGGAGCAGCGUAGGAGGUAACGCCUCUCCGCCGUGAGGCGAGGAUCAGAGCAACAGAGACGAGCCGGUUCAGUCCGGGUGAAACGGGCAAUCUCUACGCGCAGCAACACCAAAUAGGCCCGCAUUGAGGCGGCUCGCUGAGCGGGCGGGUAGGUGGCACCGAGCCGAGUGGGCGACCCUCGGCCCAGAUGAAUGGCGGUCACGGUGGGGCAACCCACCGCACAGAAUCCGGCCUAUCGGCUGACUCCACAC
rnacentral:RNase_P_RNA from 1 species